rnacentral:lncRNA from 1 species
AAUUAAAAACUAAUGUUUGCUUCUGAAACCAUUUUACUGGUAGAAUGGUUGCACAUAGUUGUAUCCUGAAACCAUUUUACUGGUAGAAUGGUUUCAAUGAGUAAUUUAUUAAUUGUGUUUGCUUCUGAAACCAUUUAUCUGGUACAAUGGUUUCAGAGAGUUGUAAUCUGAAACCAUUUUGCUGGUAGAAUGGUUUCAGUAAGUUGAUUAUUAGUUAUUUGCUUCUGAAACCAUUUAGCUUGUAGAAUGGUUGCACAUAGUUGCAUUCUGAAACCAUUUUAUUGGUAGAAUGGUUUCAGUGAGUAAUUUAUUAAUUGUGUUUGCUUCUGAAACCAUUUAUCUGGUACAAUGGUUUCAGAGAGUUGUAAUCUGAAACCAUUUUGCUGGUAGAAUGGUUUCAGUAAGUUGAUUAUUAGUUAUUUGCUUCUGAAACCAUUUACCUUGUAGAAUGGUUUCAGAGAUUUGCACUCUGAAACCAUUUUCCCUGGUAGAAUGGUUUCA